UUCGCAAUGCCCGAAAGGGUGACGGUGCGACGCCGCGUGGGUGACGAAGGCCUUCGGGUUGUAAAGCCCUGUCGAGGCGGGAAGAACCCCCCAUCGGUGAACAGCCUUUGGGGCUGACGGUACCGCCACAGGAAGCUCCGGCCAACUCCGUGCCAGCAGCCGCGGUAACACGGAUGGAGCAAGCGUUGUUCGGAAUCACUGGGCAUAAAGCGCAUGUAGGCGGCUCUGAAAGUCAGGUGUGAAAUCCCCCGGCCCACCCGGGGAGCUGCAUUUGAAACUCCAGGGCUUGAGUGAAGGAGGGGAGAGUGGAACUCCUGGUGGAGCGGUAAAAUGCGUAGAUAUCAGGAGGAACGCCGGUGGAGAAGUCGACUCUCUGGCCUUUUACUGACGCUGAGAUGCGAAAGCUAGGGGAGCAAACGGGAUUAGAUACCCCGGUAGUCCUAGCCGUAAACGAUGGGCACUAAGUAGAGGGGUUUU
rnacentral:rRNA from 1 species